rnacentral:rRNA from 1 species
UACGAACGGUGCAAGCGUUAUUCGGAAUCAUUGGGCUUAAAGGGUUCGUAGGCGGUUGCUUAAGUCAGGUGUGAAAUCUCUCGGCUCAACCGGGAAACUGCGCUUGAUACUGGGCGGCUCGAGUGAGGUAGGGGUGUGUGGAACUUCCGGUGGAGCGGUGAAAUGUGUAGAUAUCGGAAGGAACGCCAGCAGCGAAAGCGGCACACUGGGCCUUUUCUGACGCUGAGGCACGAAAGCCAGGGGAGCGAACGGG